GAUGAACGCUGGCGGCGGGCCUAACACAUGCAAGUCGAACGAAGUCUUCGGACUUAGUGGCGGACGGGUGAGUAACACGUGGGAACGUGCCUUUAGGUUCGGAAUAACUCAGGGAAACUUGUGCUAAUACCGAAUGUGCCCUUCGGGGGAAAGAUUUAUCGCCUUUAGAGCGGCCCGCGUCUGAUUAGCUAGUUGGUGAGGUAAAGGCUCACCAAGGCGACGAUCAGUAGCUGGUCUGAGAGGAUGAUCAGCCACAUUGGGACUGAGACACGGCCCAAACUCCUACGGGAGGCAGCAGUGGGGAAUCUUGCGCAAUGGGCGAAAGCCUGACGCAGCCAUGCCGCGUGAAUGAUGAAGGUCUUAGGAUUGUAAAAUUCUUUCACCGGGGACGAUAAUGACGGUACCCGGAGAAGAAGCCCCGGCUAACUUCGUGCCAGCAGCCGCCGUAAGAC
rnacentral:rRNA from 1 species